AUUGAACGCUGGCGGCAUGCUUUACACAUGCAAGUCGAACGGUAACAGGCCGCAAGGUGCUGACGAGUGGCGAACGGGUGAGUAAUGCAUCGGAACGUGCCCAGUCGUGGGGGAUAACGCAGCGAAAGCUGCGCUAAUACCGCAUACGAUCUGUGGAUGAAAGCGGGGACCGAAAGGCCUCGCGCGAUUGGAGCGGCCGAUGUCAGAUUAGGUAGUUGGUGGGGUAAAGGCCCACCAAGCCAACGAUCUGUAGCUGGUCUGAGAGGACGACCAGCCACACUGGGACUGAGACACGGCCCAGACUCCUACGGGAGGCAGCAGUGGGGAAUUUUGGACAAUGGGCGCAAGCCUGAUCCAGCAAUGCCGCGUGCAGGAAGAAGGCCUUCGGGUUGUAAACUGCUUUUGUACGGAACGAAACGGUCCGGGUUAAUACCCUGGGCUAAUGACGGUACCGUAAGAAUAAGCACCGGCUAACUACGUGCCAGCCGCCGCAGUAAAAC
rnacentral:rRNA from 1 species